rnacentral:rRNA from 1 species
GACGAACGCUGGCGGCGUGCUUAACACAUGCAAGUCGAACGGUGAAGGGACUGGUUUUGCUGGUCCUGGAUGAGUGGCGAACGGGUGAGUAACACGUGAGUAACCUGCCCCCUUCUUCUGGAUAACCGCAUGAAAGUGUGGCUAAUACGGGAUAUUCUGGGUCUGUCGCAUGGUGGGCCUGGGAAAGAUUGCGCCUUUUUUGGUGUUUUUGGUGGGGGAUGGGCUCGCGGCCUAUCAGCUUGUUGGUGGGGUGAUGGCCUACCAAGGCGGUGACGGGUAGCCGGCCUGAGAGGGUGGACGGUCACACUGGGACUGAGACACGGCCCAGACUCCUACGGGAGGCAGCAGUGGGGAAUAUUGCACAAGGGGCGCAAGCCUGAUGCAGCGACGCCGCGUGAGGGAUGGAGGCCUUCGGGUUGUGAACCUCUUUCGCCAGUGAAGCAGGCCUGCCUCUUUUUGUGGGUGGGUUGACGGUAGCUGGAUAAGAAGCGCCGGCUAGCUACGUG